rnacentral:rRNA from 1 species
GAUGAACGCUGGCGGCGUGCCUAAUACAUGCAAGUCGAGCGAACGGACGAGAAGCUUGCUUCUCUGAUGUUAGCGGCGGACGGGUGAGUAACACGUGGAUAACCUACCUAUAAGACUGGGAUAACUUCGGGAAACCGGAGCUAAUACCGGAUCAUAUUUUGAACCGCAUGGUUCAAAAGUGAAAGACGGUCUUGCUGUCACUUAUAGAUGGUUCCGCGCUGCAUUAGCUAGUUGGUAAGGUAACGGCUUACCAAGGCAACGAUGCAUAGCCGACCUGAGAGGGUGAUCGGCCACACUGGAACUGAGACACGGUCCAGACUCCUACGGGAGGCAGCAGUAGGGAAUCUUCCGCAAUGGGCGAAAGCCUGACGGAGCAACGCCGCGUGAGUGAUGAAGGUCUUCGGAUCGUAAAACUCUGUUAUUAGGGAAGAACAUAUGUGUAAGUAACUGUGCACAUCUUGACGGUACCUAAUCAGAAAGCCACGGCUAACUACGUG